GAUGAACGCUGGCGGCGUGCCUAAUACAUGCAAGUCGAGCGAACGGACGAGAAGCUUGCUUCUCUGAUGUUAGCGGCGGACGGGGGAGUAACACGUGGAUAACCUACCUAUAAGACUGGGAUAACUUCGGGAAACCGGAUCUAAUACCGGAUGAUAUUUUGAACCGCAUGGUUCAAAAGUGAAAGACGGUCUUUCUGUCACUUAUAGAUGGAUCCGCGCUGCAUUAGCUAGUUGGUAAGGUAACGGCUUACCAAGGCAACGAUGCAUAGCCGACCUGAGAGGGUGAUCGGCCACACUGGAACUGAGACACGGUCCAGACUCCUACGGGAGGCAGCAGUAGGGAAUCUUCCGCAAUGGGCGAAAGCCUGACGGAGCAACGCCGCGUGAGUGAUGAAGGUCUUCGGAUCGUAAAACUCUGUUAUUAGGGAAGAACAUAUGUGUAAGUAACUGUGCACAUCUUGACGGUACCUAAUCAGAAAGCCACGGCUAACUACGUG
rnacentral:rRNA from 1 species